CCGGGGGCUCGUGGCCGGGGUGGGCCUUGGCGGGGCUCGGCCCGUCCGUGGCAGGCACCCGCUGCCGCUUGUGCGGCAUGGGCAGGCGGGUGAAGGACGUGUUAGCGUGAUGUGUGGAAAGGGGAAAAUCUGCUGUCAACGAGGCUGCUCCUUGCUUGCAUACCGCUUUUUUUUUUAUGGGCCUUGUCUGGAGGAUGUAGUCGCUCUCAGGGAAGAGUGAUGUGUUUUCUCAGAAUGUAUGGAGAACGCAGGGGUGCGGGUGAUUGAAUAAUACCUUGUUGGUCCAGGCUGUGCUUAGACCAAUGAAGGAAGCAACUUCUUUUAAGGAUGAAAGUAGUUGAAAGGCCAGCCGUGCAGAGUUCCAUUAAACAGUCCAGUGUUUACUUCAGGAUCCUGGGAAAUAGGCAACAGGAUAGUCUCCAAAGGGAAGGACCCAGAACAUGCAAAAUUGGGCCUCCUGAAGGGACUGAAAAUGUUCCUAAGUAGGCAGUGCUGGUCUGCCUGCAAGUAGAUAAAUGAAAUGUAAAAAAUUAUUUGUUUUUCUAGUCCAUAAAAUGAGGAAAGCUAAACCAAUUUGAGGGGAAAAUUCAACAUGUCUGGCUUCUCAGCAGCCCCGGAGUCUACAGGGGUGGGCAGAGGAGGAAGAUAAUUUCCAACUGUGGUGUGUGAAACCCUGCCUUAAGAAGUAAAUUCCAGGUCUAGAAAAUGGAAAAAUAAGAAGAUGAGGAUAGUAGUGGGAGGGUCAGGUUUUAUAAGCACUUAAUUUGAUAGUUUGCUUCUCAAAAAUUAUAUUCUGACUUUCCCUGUUGUUCCUCUGAAUUUUCAAAAGCUUUUUAAAGGAAAAUGAAUUACAGAUCUGGAAAUUUUUUGUUGGUAUUGACCCAGGCAAAACCAUGACAAAUCUGCCAAAUCUGGAUUUAAGUGUCUCAGCAAAAGAGGGAGAUUAGGACAGAUGUUCAGACAGAGAUUGAUGUACGUAUCUUUAGUCUGCUUGUGUCCUAAACUUUGAAUUCCCUACUGCCAGUCUUUCCCUAUAAUUACCUCCCAGAACAAUUACUCUUUCCUAAUGACUUCCAUUCCAACCUCCUAAAUCAUACACAGGUUUAAACUCAUCCCUCCAUCCUCCCUUCCAAGUGAUCCCCAAUACAGGAUGAACCAGUAUGUCACAACAGGAAGGUGGCUACGGGUUAUUACCUGAUUCUUCAGCCACGGACACUGCGCUUGUGGGCAAGGAACAAUGGCAAAUGGCUCCGAAUAACCCCGGUCUUUCUCUGAGCAAGGGCUCGAUUCGGUGACCUCUGAAAGUUGCUCCAAGCUGCAAUAAUUCCAUGGUUCUUUACUGUGCCAGCAACUUCCACAAAGCAGAUUUUUGACAUUAAAAGCAAGGAUCACCUGUAAUGGCAUUUGGCCACUUUUCUAUUCAACUGAGAAUACCAAAGAAUUUCCGUGCAUUUUCCCAGAGAGUUCUUGAACACAAGAAGAACAGAAACUUUCCAGUUAAGGUACCACAUUGACUCAAGAGAUGGUACUUCAGUUCUUGUCUUUGUCACACCUGUGACACACCUGUGACACCUGCUCUGCAAAGCACCAAAUGGCUGACCCAGAAGACCACAGCUCACAUUUAAGUUGAUCUUGCCAUCUAGAGGCAUUAGUUGUGUGUCCACAAAUCUAUUUCUCUGCUUUGAUUGCAGGAAAGGGACACAGAGAUAGGCUGGUACUGUCUCUGCUAAACAAAAUGCAAUUUUUUUCUGCCAGGUGUUAGUGCUGCUAGGCAAACAAACUGUUAAGGAAACUACUUUGUUAAAAUGAAAAUGAAUAUAAAAUAAAACAUGAAAAAAUUGAGUUUUUAAAAUUUGAGCCAUUUCUCCUCUCUGAAAUCAGCUCCCUUUGCCUGACUGCACAUCACAUCCCAACCUGGAUGCUGAGUUUAGCUUUUGUGUACUGUAAAGCUGAUGGCAGCCGAGGCAUCAGCCAGAGACUCACUCUGCUAACUCCAGAAAUUUCCUUUUCUCCUUCCUAUGAUUUCUUCCUCAGAAGAAAAACCUGCCUUCACAAAGCCCUUCCUACUUUCAAGGCUGAACAUUAAUGAUGACCUCCUCUCUGAUACUGGUUCUUCAUCCUGUCUUCACUUCAUCCCCACAUUUUAACAAACCAAUGCAGGCCAAGGACAGCGUAACCAGGGGAUGCCAUGGCUACUUCCAAUCUGUAUCUGUCAUAUUAAAAUAAUCUGUUGUAUACUAAGGGGUAGAUUUGAUUUCUUUUCCAAUGUGUUAUUUACAAUCUGGCAGAGUUCAGUACAAAUGUGGGAACUGAUCCUGCAAUUUGAUCAGCCCCGGCAGACCCAAUGAAGUCAAUGGAGUCUGCAUGGAUGGAUCAG